GGAGAAAUCGUGUUCGAUUAGAGAUCGCGGUAUGUAAAGAUCAAAAGAACUGGGGUUUGAGUCCUGGUUCUGUCCAGUCUCUUUUGGCUUCCUGUCCUCGGGUUUGAACGCAUCCCGAAGAGACGGUUGUUCAGUGGCGCACCUGGCGCCACAUUGCCUCUUAUGAGUGGUUCAGCCCUGAUUAGAAGCGGAUUGGGGUAAAAAAUAAAGAAUAAAAGUGUUGCACCAACAUGGAUGGAUCUAGAGAUGAUCAUACCAAGUGAAGUCAGUCAGACAGAGAAAGACAAAUAUCAUGAUAUCACUUACAUGUGGAAUCCAAAAAAAUGACACAAAUGAACUUAUUUGCAAGACAGAAACAGACUCACUAACAAACUUACCAUUACCAAAGGGGAAAGGGGUGUGGGGAGGGAUAAAUUGGGAAUAUGGGA